rnacentral:rRNA from 1 species
UACGUAGGAGGCGAGCGUUGUCCGGAAUUACUGGGCGUAAAGCGCGUGUAGGCGGUCUGAAUAGUCUGCUGUGAAAGCGCCUGGCUUAACCGGGCGAGGUCGGCGGAAACUCUCAGACUGGAGGCCGGUAGAGGGGGGUGGAAUUCCCGGUGUAGUGGUGAAAUGCGUAGAGAUCGGGAGGAACACCUGUGGCGAAGGCGGCCCCCUGGGCCGCGCCUGACGCUGAGACGCGAAGGCUAGGGGAGCGAACGGG